rnacentral:tRNA from 1 species
GGGGUCGUAGCUCAGUUGGUUAGAGUGCCGGCCUGUCACGCCGGAGGUCGCGAGUUCAAGUCUCGUCGGCCCCGCCA